UACGUAGGGUGCAAGCGUUGUCCGGAAUUAUUGGGCGUAAAGAGCUCGUAGGCGGUUUGUUGCGUCGGCUGUGAAAUCCCGAGGCUCAACCUCGGGUCUGCAGUCGAUACGAGCAAACUAGAGUGUUGCAGGGGAGACUGGAAUUCCUGGUGUAGCGGUGAAAUGCGCAGAUAUCAGGAGGAACACCGGUGGCGAAGGCGGGUCU
rnacentral:rRNA from 1 species